rnacentral:rRNA from 1 species
UUAUUCUCAACUUUUCGCAUCGUGGGCGCCGGGUCUUGCGUCUGCCCCCGAGCCGUCGUGCGCCCGG